UAUGACACCUCUUCAUAUACUAAAAUUGGAACGAUACUGAGAAGAUUAGCAUGGUCUCUGUGCAAGGAUGACACACGGAUUCAUGAAGCGUUCUGUAUCGUU